rnacentral:lncRNA from 1 species
AUGAGCGAGCGCACUGAUACAGAGGACACCAGCGCUCACUACCGAAAACGCGAACCAGCACCCACCUACGAGUCCGCGUGGCACUCUUACGCCGACCAUUCCUCCUCCUGGCAAGCCAAAGAUCAACCCAACCAAAACUCCUACACAAACGCGAACGGCCAAAAGUCGUACUCCAACGCCCAGAACUACAACCAAAACGCCUAUCAAAACGCCUACGAGAACGAGGACAGCAACACGCACGACCGACCGGCCGAAUCCUCCUCGUACCAAUCUAGUCAGAACCACAAUCAGCCCAGUCAGAACUACGUCCAGCACACCCAGACCUACCAAAAGCCCGCUCCCACCCAGAACAAAAACAAGCAAUACGAACAAAGCAAUCAAGGCAAACAAUACGAACAGACCAAACAAACCUACGAAGAUGAGCAAGAACAAAGUCAAGGCUACGGGCAGGUGAACCAGAACUACCAAACCCAGCAGUGGCAGUCUUACUCUAAGAAACAGGAGGAACCUAAAGCUAAGGGGUCCGACCAGACCUACAGCUACCAGAGCUUCGAGCAGUCCGACCGGAGGGACCAAGGCUUCGAUGGCAGUCAAAAAUACGACAAAAGUAACCAGCAGUCUGAACAGGGUAGUCAAAGGUACGACCUGAACAACCUGAAUAGUCAGAAUCACGAACAGAGCGCGAAGAACGAAGGUCAGACUAGCCAGAAGCUGGACAACUCGAGUCCAGACCUGACGAACAUGCAGUGGCAGUCGUUCCACAAGAAGCAGGAACAAGGGGUCCAUGGAACAGCCGCGGGUCUCAACGCCAGUGCGAGUAGUGUGGUGGACCGCUGGACCUACAACGAGGAGCCUAAUAUAUGGGGCAACGUUCACGACGGCUACAAGAGGCUGGUGAGUGCCCAAAGUUCCGGGGAUGUUGGUUCUGAGUGGAACGCCAAGUUUUCCUUCUGGGAUGGCAAUAACUACAACCGCUACCCCGUCGUUACCAGCGAGCCGGAUGUGCAUAAUGUCAAUUACUUGAAGCAGUACUUCAAGAGGAACAACGGCUAA